rnacentral:rRNA from 1 species
GACGAACGCUGGCGGCGUGCUUAACACAUGCAAGUCGUACGGUAAGGCCCUUCUGGGGGUCCAUGAGUGGCUGACGGGCGAGUAACUCGUGCGUAAGCUGCCUACAACUUUGGGAUAACUCUCGGAAACUGGUGCGAACACUGAAUAUGUGCUCCUGCUGCAUGCUGGGGGUUGGAUGGCUCGGGUGGUUGUGGAUGGAUUCGCGGCCUAGCUGCUUGUUGGUGGGGUAGUGGCCUACCAAGGCGGCGACGGGCAGCUGGCCUGAGAGGGUGACCGGCCGCAUUGGGACUGAGAUACGGCCCAGACUCCUACGGGAGGCAGCAGUGGGGAAGAUUGCACAAUGGGCGCAAGCCGGAUGCAGCAACGCCGCGUGCGGGAUGACGGCCUUCGGGUUGUAAACCGCUUUCAGCAGGGACGAAGCUUUUUGUGACGGUACCUGCAGAAGAAGCACCGGCUAACUACGUG